UAGAACCUCGUCUCGGGCGACACACCGUG
rnacentral:sRNA from 1 species